rnacentral:rRNA from 1 species
GGACUACUGGGGUUUCUAAUCCCGUUCGCUACCCACGCUUUCGUGCUUGAGUGUCAGGAACGCGCCAGUCUGCUGCCUUCGCUUUCGGUGUUCCCCAAGAUAUCAACGGAUUUCACCCCUACACCUUGAGUUCCACAGACCUCUCACGCCCUCGAGUCGUACCGUUUCGUCUGCAGAUCCGGGGUUGGGCCCCGGGGUUUAACAGACGACUAAUACGACCACCUACGCACUCUUUACGCCCAGUAAUUCCGGGUAACGCUCGUGGCCUCUGUAUUACCGCGGCUGCUGGCAC